rnacentral:rRNA from 1 species
GACGAACGCUGGCGGCGUGCCUAAUACAUGCAAGUAGAACGCAGUUGCGAACGGGUGAGUAACGCGUAGGUAACUGCCUCAUAGCGGGGGAUAACUAUUGGCAACGAUAGCUAAUACCGCAUACUGUGAGAUGGACCUGCGUUGUAUUAGCUAGUUGUUGAAGUAAAGGCUCACCAAGGCGACGAUACAUAGCCGACCUGCGAGGGGGAUCGGCCACACUGGCGGUGAGAAAGAGCCCAGACUCCGAAGGGAGACAGCAAUAGGGAAUCUGCGGCAAUGGACGGAAGUAUGACCGAGCAACGAGGCGGGAGUGAAGAAGGUUUUCGGAUCGUAAAGCUCUGGUGUUAGAUAAGCGUUAACUAACCAGAAAGGGGCGGCUAACUACGUGCCAGCAGCAGCGGUAAUUC